rnacentral:rRNA from 1 species
CACGUAGGGGCCAAGCGUUGUCCGGAUUUAUUGGGCGUACAGAGCUCGUAGGCGGUUCGACAAGUCGGGUGUGAAAACUCCGGGCUCAACCCGGAGACGCCACCCGAUACUGUCGUGACUGGAGUCCGGUAGGGGAGUGGGGAAUUCCUGGUGUAGCGGUGAAAUGCGCAGAUAUCAGGAGGAACACCGGUGGCGAAGGCGCCACUCUGGGCCGGUACUGACGCUGAGGAGCGAAAGCGUGGGUAGCAAACAGG